rnacentral:rRNA from 2 species
GCAGUGGGGAAUAUUGCACAAUGGGCGCAAGCCUGAUGCAGCAACGCCGCGUGAGGGACGAAGGCCUUCGGGUUGUAAACCUCUUUUAGCAGGGAAGAAGCGAAAGUGACGGUACCUGCAGAAAAAGCACCGGCUAACUACGUGCCAGCAGCCGCGGUAAUACGUAGGGUGCAAGCGUUGUCCGGAAUUAUUGGGCGUAAAGAGCUCGUAGGCGGUUUGUCACGUCUGCUGUGAAAAUCCAAGGCUCAACCUUGGACUUGCAGUGGGUACGGGCAGGCUAGAGUGCGGUAGGGGAGAUGGGAAUUCCUGGUGUAGCGGUGGAAUGCGCAGAUAUCAGGAGGAACACCAAUGGCGAAGGCACAUCUCUGGGCCGUAACUGACGCUGAGGAGCGAAAGCGUGGGGAGCAAACAGGAUUAGAUACCCUGGUAGUCCACGCCGUAAACGGUGGGUGCUAGCUGUGGGCCACAUUCCACGUGGUCCGUAA